CAAAACCCAAUAAGAAAUUUGCUUAAUAUUAAAUGCAUGUCAUAGAAGACCGAAAUAUUUAUUACGCCAAAUGUCCGUUACUUAAUCGAACUGUCACACGUGAACCAGAAAACAUCGUCACUAAUGCCCUUGUCUGGAUUUAACAAGACUGAAAUGUGGCCCUUCCCUUGCUCUGUUUGUGUAGACAAUAAAUCAAAACCUCUCGUUUAACAUUUUGCAUCUCUUAAAAACUCCGACUGCCCCGUGACGGCCCAGUUACCACAGCAACUACAGCAUCCCAGGUGCAAUCCUUCUGCUGAAACUCCGAGCACCUGUACCAAACAUUAGUUUGCGGUUUCACAAUUCCCUCAUGACACACACCAUGAACGAAGUGGGCGUCUGAGAGUUGCACAACAUUCUGUCCGAUUUCAAAGGACACAUAAUUGUUUAUUCAAUUAUGUACCCUACAAUAUUUUACAAUAAGCAUUAUUCAGAUAGGACGAACAAUUAAUUAAAUGAAUAAUAUAGCACUACAGGAUUCCAGCAGGAAUUUAAUUACUUCUUAUUGAGUUGUUGGUAUUAUAUUUUUCUUUAUAACUAAAAACACAAAAUCACGUAUGACUGGAAGGUCACAUGAGAUUUAUAAAAUAAGUCUUUUAAUAUAAGGGAAGACUAGGGUUAGUUUUCACACUCCUGUUUAAUGUAACUCGACACACAAUAGGCUAAAACUCAUGGGCUGGAUAUAAGCAGAAUAUAAAUUAAAAUAAAUAAAUAAAUGCAGCGACAUCACCGAUCAGAAAAUGUCAUUAAAGUCUCAUUAAGGUUUCACAUUGGUCGUGACGUUAGCAACCCACAAACCCUGCGCGCCCCACCGCGAGCUCAAAACAGACGCAGCGCGCGCUCUGAGGUGCAGCACGCGAAACGGAGCUCUUCUCUGCUGCUUGAGACUGCAAAGACGAAAGCUGUUCCGGAUAACAUCAAGAGCAGAAAACAUAUGUGUGCAUCAUGAAGUUUGCGGCUUUAGUCUGUUUGGUUGUUUUCUUCGCUGCAGAUGGGGAGUCCAUGCCAGUCGAGCAGGACAGCCAAAGAGAAGACCUGCUUACCCAGUGUUUAGUUCACAUCCUUUCAAAGGCAUUGUAUAAGACCGAUGAUACUCCACUGCAUCCAGAAUGCAAAAACAUCCUUAGACCAGGAUCAGGUCAUUCAUCAGUUGUGAAAGACGAGGAUGACACCCUAGAACCAGUUCAAGAAGAACUUAUAAAGCCAAGAGGAGAGUCUAAAGUCAAGGAGGAACUCAUUGAGGAUCUUCUCAAAACUAACAAACGGGAGGAGAUGGAUGACGAGCGAAGCCAGGAAGAGUUCCCAAGUUUUCUGAAAAGAAGAAUGAAAGAAAAACGUGACGAACUGGAUGACGAACGAAGCCAAGAAGAGUUCCCAAGUUUUAUGAAAAGAAGAAUGAAAGAAAAACGUGACGAACUGGAUGACGAGCGAAGCCAAGAAGAGUUCCCAAGUUUUAUGAAAAGAAUAUUGAACGAAAAACGUGACGAACUGGAUGACGAGCGAAGCCAAGAAGAGUUCCCAAGAUUUAUGAAAAGAAUAUUGAACGAAAAACGUGACGAACUGGAUGACGAGCGAAGCCAAGAAGAGUUCCCAAGUUUUAUGAAAAGAAGAAUGAAAGAAAAACGUGACGAACUAGAUUAUGACCGGAGCCAGGAAGAGUUCCCAAGUUUCUAUAAAAGAAGCAACAAGCAUAAAAGGGCAGAUCCCGACGAUGAGAGAAGCCAAGAGGAAUUUCCCCAGAAAAGACACGUUUCUGUCCUUUACAAACGUGAUAAUCUUGAUGAGGAGCGCAGCCAGGAGGAAUUCCCUCUGUAUGAUUAUAAAAGGACUCAUCUUCUGACCAGCAAAGAAAAACGUGAAGAGUCGGACUAUGAUAGAAGCCAAGAAUUAUUCCCAAGUUACACCCACAAAAGAAACCAUGGGGAUGGAGAAGAAGAGGAUGAGGAGAGUGAGGAAAGAGAGAAGCGGAUCUGGAAGCCAUCACAUAGAUACCACCACAAGAAAAAGCAACACAAACGCAGUGAGAAUGAGGAUUUCGAAGAACCAGACUAUUACAGAAGUCAAGAAGACUUCCCAAGCUACAGCCAAAAAAGAAGCCAUGGGGAUAGCAGGGACUACAAACCAAAUGAAGACCUGCUGAACAAGCAUAUUAAUGAGGACUUAAACUCUCGGGAAGAGAAUUCUGAAGAGGUAGACGAGGAUACAGCAAAGCGAUACUGGAAACCCACCCAUAGAUACCAUCAUAAGAAGCACCACAAAAGACCCGUGGAAAAAAGGUACGAGGACUCAGAGGAAAGUGAGGAAAUGGAUAAAAGGAUCUGGAAGCCAACACACAGAUAUCACCAUAAGAAGCUUCAUCACAAGCGUGGCGACUCCACAGAGCUCAAGGAUGAAGAUGAACCCAUCUCACAGAAGACUCACAGUCUCCAUGACUCAACAGGCAAUGAAGAGGAAGAAGAAGAAAAUGUUCAUGAGCUUAAUGAAAAGAGGCGUCCCUUAACCAGCCAAGAGGAGGAAGAUGAGCUGAAGAAAGGACACCAGAGUUUUGCAGAGGAGAAGCAGGACAGGGAGACUGCGUUGCGGUACCUAACAAAAAAGAAGAAUGAGUUAAAGGAACGUCUACUUAACAAAGGUGAUGUCUAUGAGAAGCGUUCCCCAUGGAUUUACAGAGGAUUCUACCAUCCAGCCUGGUAUAAGAGAGGCCAUAAGGUGGAUGAAAGCACUGACCAGCACCCCUACCAUAAACUAGAGGACUUUGCUGAGACUCUCCGGUACAAAAGAGGCCUGCUUACUAAUGGGGAGUCAUUCGAGGAGGAAAAGGGUGUCCCCCAACAGAAGCUUCUCACACCAGAGUUAAAAGAACUUGAGAAACUGGCCUCUGUGGAUCAACAGAUGAAAGAGACAACUUAA
rnacentral:lncRNA from 1 species